CACGUAGGAGGCGAGCGUUGUCCGGAAUCAUUGGGCGUAAAGAGCGCGCAGGCGGCCCGGCAAGUCGGGUGUGAAAUCCCGGGGCUCAACCCCGGGACUGCAUUCGAUACUGCCGGGCUAGAGGUAGGUAGGGGAGAUCGGAAUUCCUGGUGUAGCGGUGAAAUGCGCAGAUAUCAGGAGGAACACCGAUGGCGAAGGCAGGUCUCUGGGCCACUACUGACGCUGAGAAGCGAAAGCAUGGGGAGCGAACAGG
rnacentral:rRNA from 1 species